UAUUAUUUAACGCACCAGCAGGGUCACCGGCCUCCCCGCGGGAACCGCCCCCGCUCACACCCUCCCGGGCAGCCCUGGAGCCGCGGAGCCGGGGCACGUUUCCGCGACAGCGGCCGAGCGGCCCCGCCCCGGGGCGGGGCAGAGGGGGGAGGGGAUGGGUGGGUUGGGCCCUUUCAUGCCCCGGAACCUUCCCGCCGCCUCUCGCGUUUCCUGCCGGAGCGGCGCCGGUCGCCAUGGCAGCGGGGCCGUGGUGCUGGGGACCGGCGGCACUGCUGCUGCUCCUCGCGCCGCUGCUCGCGCUGCUGCUCGGCGGCGCGCGCCGCUGUUACGCGGCUGCCGUGGCUCGCGCGUCCCUGAGGGGAACGGCAGCGGCGCGGGCGGGCGGCGUGCGCGCGCUGCUAGUGACGGCGCACCCUGAUGACGAAGUCAUGUUCUUCGCCCCCACGGUGCUCGGCCUGGGCAGGGCCGGUGCCCGCCCCGCGGUGCUGUGCUGCUCCGCAGGAAAUUAUUACAAUCAAGGGGAGAUUCGUAAGAAAGAACUGGAACAGAGUUGUUUUCUACUGGGGAUUCCUGCUUCCGAUGUAACAGUCAUCGAUCACAGGGAUCUUCCAGAUAAUCCUGCUGUUGAAUGGGACACACAGCUCCUCGCUGCCUUUGUGUUAGAGCAUAUAGAAGCCAAUAACAUCAAUCUGGUGAUAACCUUUGAUUCAGGAGGAGUGAGCGGUCAUGCCAACCACAUUUCUCUUUACACGGCCUUAAGUCCUGAAUCAGCAGAAAUGGGCAUGGUAACCCAGUCAUCUACAUGUGGCAGGAGCGAUGCUGUGGCCACUGAAAGUGCCCCGAUGAGUUCUCACAUACUGGAUAGCAGGGGCAGCACUGGGAGCAUCUGCUGAGGCUUCUCCCGAGCCUCCCUGCCCGCCGGGCUCUGCAGAGCAGCGGCUGCUGCCCCCGGGGCCCUGGGGCUACAUGGCAAGAAAAAGGCAAAUGAACUCUUCCCUCCAGGUCCCUGCAUUCAGAAGGGAAGUUACCUGAAGGGUGCCGUGUGCUCGUGCUUGAAUCGGUAAAUCUCUUCCGGAAGUACAUCUCCGUCCUGGAUGUGCCCCUGUCCUGCCUCCUGCCCAGAGAUGCACUCUUCAUCCUCACAGAGGAGGAGACUGAACAAGCCAGGAGAGCCAUGCGGUGUCAUCGCAGCCAGCUCCUCUGGUUUCGCCGCGUCUAUAUGCUUUUCUCACGUUAUAUGGUGAUCAAUUCACUCCGCCUUCUGUAAAAGAGACAUCACUCACAGCGUCAGGAGUAAGAGAAUGAGCAAAAAAAGACCAUGCCAGGCCAAGGACUAAAGAAAACUCAUCUGUUUCAUGCUCAAGAGGACAGGAUUCUCUUUGUGUAGCAUUCUUUCAGACUGCAAAAAACAGGCUGUACAAACCUCCUUCUGAAUAUCUUGUCACCUGAUAUAUUGAGAUAAACAGGGCUUAAUAACUACUCUGUUUUCUCACUGUGGAAGCUUAAAUAGGAUAAAAAAUUUGGAUUAUCCUGAUUAGGAGUCAAAUGCAGAGUAUUCUGCCUUAGAGAAGAUACGGCACAGAGUAUUUUUCUCCAAGAGGAUAUAGCUGCGAGGACUGCUUGGCAACUGUCUCUUGGUGCUUUUGUAAAACCCAGAUAUGAGGAGUAACUUUUCAAAGAUCAUGCUUCCUCCAUGGAUAAAACCAGAACCACAAGACCUGUCUUAUUCAGGCAGAACUUUAAAAAGACAAAGCUUAUGAAUAAAACAUCAGAAAUCAUA